rnacentral:lncRNA from 1 species
GUCAUGAGAGAUUCAUGCAGCUACAUAAGAGUUCUUGGAAUACAGUUUAAAGAAGGAAAAGAAGAGAGUGCAAGUAGCACAUGAAGGAGAGAAGAACGAGGAGGAGGUGAGGCUUCUGCAUCCCCUAGUGCAAUAACCAGAGUAUGCACCUAUGUACACGAUUCAUAUCAUAAUACUUCACAGGUA